rnacentral:rRNA from 1 species
AAUGAACGCUGGCGGCGCGCCUAAUACAUGCAAGUCGAGCGAGAAGACGUAGCAAUACGUUUGUAAAGCGGCGAACGGGUGAGGAAUACAUGGGUAACCUACCCUCGAGUGGGGAAUAACUAGCCGAAAGGUUAGCUAAUACCGCGUACGCUUCUUGGACUUCGGUUCAGGGAGGAAAGCGAUGCCGAGGGUAUCGCGCUCUUGGAUGGGCUCAUGUCCUAUCAGCUUGNGGUGAGGUAACGGCUCACCAAGGCUUCGACGGGUAGCCGGUCUGAGAGGACGAUCAGCCACACUGGCACUGCGACACGGGCCAGACUCCUACGGGAGGCAGCAGUAAGGAAUAUUGCGCAAUGGGCGAAAGCCUGACGCAGCGACGCCGCGUGGGGGA